rnacentral:rRNA from 1 species
AUUGAACGCUGGCGGCAGGCCUAAAACAUGCAAGUCGAACGAGUGGCGGACGGGUGAGGAAUGUCGGGGAAAAUGCCAGAAGGAGGGGUAUAAAUGCGGGAAACGGUAGCUAAUACCGCAUACCAUCGAAUGGGCCCAGAUGGGAUUAGCUAGUGGGGGGGGUAAUGGCUCACCUUGGCGACGAUCCCUAGCUGGUCUGAGAGGAUUAACAGCCACACUGGAACUGAGACACGGUCCAGACUCCUACGGGAGGCAGCAGUGGGGAAUAUUGCACAAUGGGCGCAAGCCUGAUGCAGCCAUGCCGCGUGUAUGAAGAAGGCCUUCGGGUUGUAAAGUACUUUCAGCGAGGAGGCGUUACUCGCAGAAGAAGCACCGGCUAACUCCGUGCCAGCAGCCGCGGUAAUUC